UCCUGGUUUCCCAGGCAGUCUCGUUAGAGUGCCUCCUUACGGAGUAGCAACUAACAACAGGAGUUGCGCUCGUUAAAGGACUUAACCCAACAUCUCACGACACGAGUUGACGGCAGCCAUGCAGCACCUGUGUACCUGUCUAGACUUUCGUCUAAAAACUAUAUUUCUAUAGCGGUCAAGUACAUGUCAAGCCUAGGUAAGGUUCCUCGCGUAGUGUCGAAUUAAACCACAUGUUCCACCGCUUGUGCGGACCCCCGUCAAUUCCUUUGAGUUUUAAUCUUGCGACCGUACUUCCCAGGCGGAUCACUUAACGCGUUAGCUACGACACUAAUUACGCAAGCGCAAUUAACAUCCAGUGAUCAUCGUUUACAGCGUGGACUAC
rnacentral:misc_RNA from 1 species